AGCGAACGCUGGCGGCAGGCUUAACACAUGCAAGUCGAGCGCCCCGCAAGGGGAGCGGCAGACGGGAGAGUAACACGUGGGAACGUACCCUUUAGUUCGGAACAACCCAGGGAAACUUGGGCUAAUACCGGAUGCGUCCGUAAGGAGAAAGAUUUAUCGCUAAAGGAUCGGCCCGCGCCUGAUUAGCUAGUUGGUGAGGUAACGGCUCACCAAGGCGACGAUCAGUAGCUGGUCUGAGAGGAUGAUCAGCCUCACUGGGACUGAGACACGGCCCAGACUCCUACGGGAGGCAGCAGAGGGGAAUAUUGGACAAUGGGCGCAAGCCUGAUCCAGCCAUGCCGCGUGGGUGAUGAAGGCCCUAGGGUUGUAAAGCCCUUUCGGCGGGGAAGAUAAUGACGGUACCCGCAGAAGAAGCCCCGGCUAACUUCGUGCCAGCCGCCGCCGUAA
rnacentral:rRNA from 1 species